GACGUAGGGCGCGAGCGUUGUCCGGAUUUAUUGGGCGUAAAGAGCUCGUAGGCGGCUUGUCGCGUCGACUGUGAAAACCCGCGGCUUAACUGCGGGACUGCAGUCGAUACGGGCAGGCUAGAGUUCGGUAGGGGAGACUGGAAUUCCUGGUGUAGCGGUGAAAUGCGCAGAUAUCAGGAGGAACACCGGUGGCGAAGGCGGGUCGCUGGGCCGACACUGACGCUGAGGAGCGAAAGCGUGGGGAGCGAACAGG
rnacentral:rRNA from 1 species